rnacentral:SRP_RNA from 1 species
GCUUGAUCUCGGAGCUACGCACGAUCCCCUCGUGGAUCUCGCUCUUACAUCGCUCUGGGGAAAGUCCCCAGACGCUUGGCAGAGAGUGCCAGGGCGCAAGGCCCCUAUCCCCGGCCGUAGGCGCACGUGAAACGCGAGGACGCGGUUAACAAGGUACGCUGAGACAAAGGCCCUACCACGCACUACGGCUGCCGACGUUGCCCAGUUCUUUAUAGACCAAAUUGUUCUUCGACAUGGUGCCCCUGCGAGCGUUAUUACUGACAGGGGAGCAGCUUUCACAUCCAAGCUGAUUGAUGACGUGUUCAAGC